AAGCAGGAUUUAGACUACAAUAUAGCUGCUAAGUGCUGUGUUGUCGUUCCCCCUGCUAAAAAUAAAGUUGUUUCUUUACUAUAUGCGUCUACAUACGCAUAUAUAUAUAUAUAUAUAU